rnacentral:rRNA from 1 species
AACGAACGCUGGCGGCGUGCCUAACACAUGCAAGUCGAGCGCGAAAGGGCUUCGGCCCCGGUAGAGCGGCGCACGGGUGAGGGAACACGUGAGUAAUCUACCCUUCGGCGGGGGACAACUGCUGGAAACGGCAGCUAAUACCGCGUACAGUCUUGGAAUCGCAGGGUUUUUAAGUGCAAAGAGGGCUUUCGGCUCUCACCGGAGGAUGAGCUCGCGUCCCAUUAGCUAGUUGGCGGGGUAACGCCCACCAAGGCUCAGAUGGGUAACUGGGUCUGAGAGGAUGAUCAGUCACACUGGAACUGAGACACGGUCCAGACUCCUACGGGAGGCAGCAGUGGGGAAUAUUGCGCAAUGGGC